rnacentral:rRNA from 1 species
UACAGAGGUCUCAAGCGUUGUUCGGAUUCAUUGGGCGUAAAGGGUGCGUAGGCGGCGCGGUAAGUCGGGUGUGAAAUCUUGGAGCUUAACUCCGAAACUGCAUUCGAUACUGCCGUGCUUGAGGACUGGAGAGGAGACUGGAAUUUACGGUGUAGCGGUGAAAUGCAUUGAGAUCGGAAAGAACACCAACGGCGAAAGCACUCUGCUGGGCCGACACUGACACUGAGAGACGAAAGCUAGGGGAGCAAAUGGG